AUACGAAAGUUGCAAGCGUUGUUCGGAUUUACUGGGCGUAAAGAGAGUGUAGGUGGUUUAUUAAGUCGGAUGUGAAAUCCCGGGGCUCAACCUCGGAACUGCAUUCGAUACUGAUAGGCUAGAGUUUGGGAGGGGUAAGCGGAAUUCCGUGUGUAGCAGUGAAAUGCGUAGAUAUACGGAGGAACACCUGAGGCGAAGGCGGCUUACUGGACCAAUACUGACACUGAGACUCGAAAGCGUGGGUAGCAAACAGGAUUAGAAACCCUAGUAGUCC
rnacentral:rRNA from 1 species